UGAUGUUUCACCUGGCACGACGUGCUCCACAGUACCGCUGUUUCGGAAUUCUCUUUUUUUUUUUUCCGUUUAAUUUCUCCUUGGGGAGGGACUUUUUCCUCUGUUCUUUUGUUUUUAAGACCUUCCUUCCCUUCUUCGCUGAUGCACAGUUUGGAAGUGGAGUUCCUGGAGAGUGAACCUGGCAGUGAGGGCAGGUUUCCCUGAAAGCUGAGGCUGUUUCUUAUUCCCUAGGAGCCUGAGAAGAGAGGGGACCCUGGAUGUCAGCCCGAUCUCCUUUUUUAUUUAUUUUGACUUUGUGGCAGAUUUCAUCUUUCAGCUCUGGGAAUUGACAAAUGCAAUUCAUGUAGGCACCUUUACAUGUCUUACAAACAAGACUGACACUGUGAAGUUGAUACGUCAACACUUUUCCUAGUAAACCAGUGGUAUGCUCUUCUAUUAAUUGGUAUUAGAAAGUGCAGCCUUGUAACACAGUUAUUGAAUAAUCAUUAAUCCACGGAGGAUACACAAGCCCAAAGGUUAAUAAUGAUGUUUGCUUGCCCAGCCUUCUACAAGAACUGUAGAAAGUCGUACGCAUCUGCUCAUCCCUGAAGUCUGGAACUGUACAGCCAAAACUCUCUACAGAAUAUGUGUUCAUAUAUUGUAUUUAUGCAUGUAUUUAUGCUGACAGCUACAUUUUAUCACUGAGUUUUUUCAGAGUGCUGAUUUGAGGAAAGUGGGUGCAGAUCUCAUUCAAGUAAUCAUCCUCCAAUACCACUAGUGUUACCUGCCAAAAAUGAAAGUGGCAUAUGAAUCACAAUAAUCCACUCAUUAAUUUGUGGAUUCAGAGCCUGCCAAGGAACAUCAGAAAUCCACGUGAUGUCCCUGAGUUUUAGGGACUUUGAAAGAUGUGUAAAAGUGCAUUUAUCCAAAGACUGUCUUAUUGAUGACUUAUCUUACUGAUAAGGGCUACUGACAUAACCUAAAGACCACAAGAACUGAAAAUAUUUAUGUCCAAAUCUUUCCCUUCCAGGCGGAAUAGUGAAAGUGGUGAAUCUGCCAACUGUAGCUAUGUCGGAGGCCCUUCCUGAGGUGCCUCUUCUUGAGUGCUACUGUGACCUAGUGACUUGGAGAUACACUUUUACUUAAGAAGAGCUAUCGGAUCCUCUGUGAAAUAUCACAGAUGCUUUCUGAUUCUUUCAGAUAUGCAUAUAUCUUUAUGCUUACACCUGAGCAGAGAGGGGUGGGGAGGGGAGCAGAGCAGGGAGUAGAGUGGGGUUAAGAGCAUCCACAUAGAUCCUGCAAACAAAUAAAUACAUGUAUAUUUUCUUUAUCUGAUGUUACUUGGUGCUUGAAAUGGAAUGAUCAAUAUUAAGAAGAAAUACUUCAUUAUUGUGUGCAUACUUGAGAGUUAUGUUGGUUGAUAGAGAAGGCCAUUUUCUGCCUGUCAUUACAGAUAUUCAACAGACCUGUAACUCUGAUCUGUCUUACACAAACCACACAUCUCUCAAUGACAAAAACUCUCAGUAAUGCUCAGAUACUGAUAUCAUUCCCAAGUAUAUGUACCUAAUCAAGUAUGGCUUAUUUUCAGCUCCUAGUAUAUUGCUAAUGCUACAGUAGUGAAAAACAGUAUGCGCUACCUACCACUUCUUAUGAUUCCUUGCUUUCUUUAUGAUUUACUUUAAGCUAAGCACGCCAGAAACUGAAAAUAACAUUUGAGCCUUUUCUCCUCUGACAUAGGAAAACAACUGCCUAAUUUCUGUAAUCUGUUCAUAUGUUAGUACUUCUGAAACAAAGCAAAAAGCCUGCUCGCUAUGACAAGGUCUGCCCAUAGCUGUCUCAGCAGCUUAAUGAAAUGUUAAGGCCUGGUUUAAGUAACUACGCUCCAAAUGUUAUUAGUGUUAUCUGUUGUAGAUGAAAAUGGCAGUGAACAACACAACCACACAGGAGUGGCCCUAUGUGUGUAUUGUAUAUCAAGUAACCGUGAUAAGCUUUUUCAAAACCUUAUUUGAUUUUUGAUCUCGAUGGUGGCUCAGUGGAAGAGACUCAAAUGACUUUUUCUGAACAUGGCUGCAACUUUCACUGCGUCUCUGUAGUCACUUGACUAUCUUUCUGAACAUGUUGGUUAGCAUUGUCCUCCUCUGCUUAGGUCUAAGCUACCUCACUAUCUGAAUGUCUUUCCUGAAAAUUCAUUCACUGAAAUGGGUAUCAUAUGGAUAAUAGCAAAUUCAUCUGACCUUUUCCAGACUGACUUGAUUUUCCUCCACUCCUUCACUGAGUGUUCAUGUUUUCAGGCCCAGGACCUCAGUCCAUUCAGCUUCUCUCUGAGGUGAUAACUACUAGAGAUGCUCCACAUCUUCCUACAGAAGAUCUUAUUACCUAAAUAAGUAAACUGCAUCCUGUAGAUACCUUCGUAAAACUUCUGCUUUACAGAAGAGAGAAUGAACUUGUUACAGAUGCAUGAGUGACAUCAAACGUGCUUCUGUUUUGCCUGAUUGCCCUCUCAGCCUUCUGACAAUCUGAAACUUUCAUUUUGGAAGGGACUGAAGGAGUUGUGUUAAUAUUUGUAUUUGUGUAACCACUUUUCCUGUACAUUAUCUGCCCUUCUCUGCUCUUCCCCUUUGGUGUCUGGUUUGUCUUGGCUGCUUUUUAAAGUUCUGUUGCCUCUAAUGAGUGACUGUUAGAUUAAACCAGUGAGGAGAAACCAGGUGACUGUCUCUACUUUUACAAAUACAGGUUAUGUAUAAUAAAUUCAGAUUUUACAUCUAUGCAAAUUAAAUCAUCAUAUGAUUCUGA